GCAUGCGCAUACGCUCUUUUUAAAGAUUAAGCCAUGCAGGUGCUAAGUUCAUACAUUUAAAAUGUGAGACUGCGGACGGCUCAGUAUAUCAGUUAUAAUCUGCUCGAUUGUCAAGGUUAUUGGAUAACCGUGGGAAAUCUAGAGCUAAUACAUGCACCGCUCGGCGUGGUAACCCCGCGUCGAUUGCAUUUAUUAGAGCGAUACCAACAGUGUGUUUCACACUUGGCGAGUCUAGAUAACUGUGCAGAUCGUAUGGCCUUGAGCUGACGACAUUUCGAUUGAAUUUCUGCCCUAUCAACUUUGUUGGCAGUGUAGUGGACUGCCAAGGUUAUUACGGGUAACGGGGAAUCAGGGUUCGAUUCCGGAGAGGGAGCCUGAGAAACGGCUACCACAUCCAAGGAAGGCAGCAGGCGCGCAAAUUACCCAAUCCAGACAAUGGGAGGUGGUGACGAAAAGUACCGAAUGGCAGCUUAUUGUUGCUAGUUUGGAAUGAAGACAAUUUUAGAAAUUGAUUUGAGUAACGACUGGAGGGCAAGUCUGGUGCCAGCAGCCGCGGUAAUUCCAGCUCCAGUAGCGUAUCUCAAAGUUGCUGCGCUUAAAACGCUCGUAGUUGGAUCAUGUAUCGUGUCGCGGUGUACUCGGAUAUGUGUAUUAAACCUCCGACUGGGUGCGUAUCUACGUAUCUCCCGGUUGAGGCGCACGUUGUCUUUGUAAUUAGCCGCGGCAUGAUAAUUGCAUGUGGGGAUGGUCGUUAGCCUUUAGUGAGCUGAUGAUUGUGUCUCACAGGGUGUGCCUUGAGUAAAUCAGAGUGCUUAAAGCAGGCGAAAGCUUGAAUGUUGAUAGCAUGGAACGAACAAUCGUGUAUGGUGUGCGCUGGUAACGGCCGGCGUGGUUCUGCCGCGUCGACUGCAGUGCACGACACCGACCGCCAAUUACGGAUGUUGGUUCCGUAUUGGGGUACUGAUUAAAAGGAGCGGUUGGGGGCAUUGGUAUUUGGCAGCGAGAGGUGAAAUUCUUGGACCUGCCAAGGACUAACAAAUGCGAAGGCAUCUGUCCAGACCGUAUCCAUUAAUCAAGAACGAAAGAGAGAGGUUCGAAGACGAUCAGAUACCGUCCUAGUUCUCUCUGUAAACUAUGCCGACCCGAGAUCAGUUUUGAUUAACAUGUACAUUCAAGGUUGGUCUCCCUGGGAAACCUCAAGUUUUUCGGUUGCGGGGGGAGUAUGGUCGCAAGGCUGAAACUUAAAGGAAUUGACGGAAGGGCACCACCAGGGGUGGAGCCUGCGGCUUAAUUUGACUCAACACGGGAAAACUUACCUGGUCCGGACAUCAGGAGGAUAAACAGACUUCAGAUCUUUUUUGAUUUGGUGAUUGGUGGUGCAUGGCCGUUCUUAGUUCGUGGAGUGAUCUGUCAGGCCAAUCCCGGUAACGAAACGAGACCCCAAUCUCCAUUUGACGAGUCGGAGAAGGCAUUCGUCGACUUCGGGCUGCUCGCAGUCUGUCGUCUUUGAGUGUUGUAGGCAAUGUUGAGGGCCACUGUGGGGCAGUUGAAGUAGCAAUAUGGAGGCUGUUCUGCUGGGGCAUGAGGCAUUCCCUCUGGCUUAGCUGUGCAUGCUUCGCUUUGGAGUGUGUAUAGUAUCAUGGAGAGACAACGGUAACAUAUUUACAAAAUCCGAGUGAAGUGGGGCUAUAACAGGUCUGUGAUGCCU
rnacentral:rRNA from 1 species